GCAUUGGGCUUUCAUGAUGGGAUAGUAG
rnacentral:piRNA from 1 species